rnacentral:lncRNA from 1 species
GCCCUCUCUUCCUCCCCUUUUCUCUUCUUUUGGGCAUUCUACAUGCCCUUCCCUUAGAACACGCAUCUCAAGGUGUUCCAUGCCCAAAGGAGUUUGGGUGCCUCUUUCUUACUAGUUUCUAGCAUCUGAUAGCAGUACAUAGCAAGAAAAAACUCUAGAGAAGAGGAGAAGAAGAAGAUCAAGGAGAAAGAUCAAGUGUUGAUCGUGAUCC